rnacentral:piRNA from 1 species
CUUCAAAGAAUACAUCCAGAAGUGGUGUCUG